GAUCCGGUUUCCGUAGGUGAACCUGCGGAAGGA
rnacentral:rRNA from 1 species